GUGGGGAAUAUUGCACAAUGGGCGAAAGCCUGAUGCAGCAACGCCGCGUGAGGGACGACGGCCUUCGGGUUGUAAACCUCUUUUAGUAGGGAAGAAGCGAAAGUGACGGUACCUGCAGAAAAAGCACCGGCUAACUACGUGCCAGCAGCCGCGGUAAUACGUAGGGUGCAAGCGUUAUCCGGAAUUAUUGGGCGUAAAGAGCUCGUAGGCGGUCUGUCGCGUCUGCUGUGAAAACUGGAGGCUCAACCUCCAGCCUGCAGUGGGUACGGGCAGACUAGAGGGCGGUAGGGGAGAUUGGAAUUCCUGGUGUAGCGGUGGAAUGCGCAGAUAUCAGGAGGAACACCGAUGGCGAAGGCAGAUCUCUGGGCCGUAACUGACGCUGAGGAGCGAAAGCGUGGGGAGCGAACAGGAUUAGAUACCCCAGUAGUCC
rnacentral:rRNA from 1 species